UACGUAGGGCGCAAGCGUUGUCCGGAAUUAUUGGGCGUAAAGAGCUCGUAGGCGGCCUGUUGCGUCCGCUGUGAAAUCCCGGGGCUCAACCCCGGGCGUGCAGUGGAUACGGGCUGGCUGGAGGCAGGCAGGGGAGAACGGAAUUCCUGGUGUAGCGGUGAAAUGCGCAGAUAUCAGGACGAACACCGGUGGCGAAGGCGGUUCUCUGGGCCUUACCUGACGCUGAGGAGCGAAAGCGUGGGGAGCGAACAGG
rnacentral:rRNA from 1 species